CCUCUUCCUCUUCCCUCCGCCUCUAUGCUUUCUUUCUCGUUCGUUUGUUUGGUUAGUGCCACAGCCCGGACCCCUGGGGAGGCCUGGGCUAACUCGGCCCCUCCCGAGGGCUCAGGCGGAGCUCUGGGCCCUCCGCCUGACCUGGAACGGCGUCCACAUCUGGGCGGCCCAGGCGUCUCCGCAGAGGCAGGCGAGAGGCGCUGUGACCGCACCUCGGCCUCAGCGGGCCCCGCCGCCCGUGGGCUGUGUGGUCUCGGCUGACGGGGCACUAGGCGUUAGAAACCUUCUCUCCAAUCCUGACAAUGUCUCCGUUUCACCAAAGAGGAAACUGAGGUUGAGACAGCGUCGCCAGAGGUAAACGAUUCUGGCGGCUCCUAGAGAAGGCUGGAAGUGAGACCCAAACGAGGGACUCCCGACUUGUUCCGGAGGGCAAC